UUAACACAUGCAAGUCGAGGGGCAGCAUGGUCUUAGCUUGCUAAGGCCGAUGGCGACCGGCGCACGGGUGAGUAACACGUAUCCAACCUGCCGUCUACUCUUGGACAGCCUUCUGAAAGGAAGAUUAAUACAAGAUGGCAUCAUGAGUCCGCAUGUUCACAUGAUUAAAGGUAUUCCGGUAGACGAUGGGGAUGCGUUCCAUUAGAUAGUAGGCGGGGUAACGGCCCACCUAGUCUUCGAUGGAUAGGGGUUCUGAGAGGAAGGUCCCCCACAUUGGAACUGAGACACGGUCCAAACUCCUACGGGAGGCAGCAGUGAGGAAUAUUGGUCAAUGGGCGAGAGCCUGAACCAGCCAAGUAGCGUGAAGGAUGACUGCCCUAUGGGUUGUAAACUUCUUUUAUAAAGGAAUAAAGUCGGGUAUGGAUACCCGUUUGCAUGUACUUUAUGAAUAAGGAUCGGCUAACUCCGUGCCAGCAGCCGCGGUAAUACGGAGGAUCCGAGCGUUAUCCGGAUUUAUUGGGUUUAAAGGGAGCGUAGAUGGAUGUUUAAGUCAGUUGUGAAAGUUUGCGGCUCAACCGUAAAAUUGCAGUUGAUACUGGAUAUCUUGAGUGCAGUUGAGGCAGGCGGAAUUCGUGGUGUAGCGGUGAAAUGCUUAGAUAUCACGAAGAACUCCGAUUGCGAAGGCAGCCUGCUAAGCUGCAACUGACAUUGAGGCUCGAAAGUGUGGGUAUCAAACAGGAUUAGAUACCCUGGUAGUCCACACGGUAAACGAUGAAUACUCGCUGUUUGCGAUAUACUGCAAGCGGCCAAGCGAAAGCGUUAAGUAUUCCACCUGGGGAGUACGCCGGCAACGGUGAAACUCAAAGGAAUUGACGGGGGCCCGCACAAGCGGAGGAACAUGUGGUUUAAUUCGAUGAUACGCGAGGAACCUUACCCGGGCUUAAAUUGCAGAUGAAUUACGGUGAAAGCCGUAAGCCGCAAGGCAUCUGUGAAGGUGCUGCAUGGUUGUCGUCAGCUCGUGCCGUGAGGUGUCGGCUUAAGUGCCAUAACGAGCGCAACCCUUGUUGUCAGUUACUAACAGGUCAUGCUGAGGACUCUGACAAGACUGCCAUCGUAAGAUGUGAGGAAGGUGGGGAUGACGUCAAAUCAGCACGGCCCUUACGUCCGGGGCUACACACGUGUUACAAUGGGGGGUACAGAGGGCCGCUACCACGCGAGUGGAUGCCAAUCCCAAAAACCUCUCUCAGUUCGGACUGGAGUCUGCAACCCGACUCCACGAAGCUGGAUUCGCUAGUAAUCGCGCAUCAGCCACGGCGCGGUGAAUACGUUCCCGGGCCUUGUACACACCGCCCGUCAAGCCAUGGGAGCCGGGGGUACCUGAAGUGCGUAACCGCGAGGAGCGCCCUAGGGUAAAACUGGUGACUGGGGCUAAGU
rnacentral:rRNA from 1 species